rnacentral:rRNA from 1 species
AGAGUUCGAUCCUGGCUCAGGAUGAACACUAGCAGUAUGCUUAACACAUGUAAGUCGGACAAGAAGUGGUGUUUCCAGUGGUGGACUGGUGAGUAAUGCGUAAGAACCUACCCUUGGGAGAGAAACAACAGCUGGAAAUGGCUGCUAAUACCCCGUAGGCUGAGGAGCAAAAGCAGGAAUCCACCUAAGGAGGGGCUUGUGUCUGAUUAGUUAGUUGGUGAGGCAAUAGCUUACCAAGGCAAUGAUUAGUAGCUAGUCUAAGAGGAUGAUAAGCGACACUGGGACUAAGACACGGCCCAGACUCCUACGAGAGACAGUAGUGGAGAAUUUUCCACAAUGGGCGAAAGCCUGACGGAGCAAUACUGUGUGGAGGUAGAAGGCCCAUGGGUCAUGAACUUCUUUUCCCGGAGAAGAAGCAAUGACAGUAACUGGGGAAUAAGCAUUGGCUAACUCUAUGCCAGCAGCCGCGGUAAGAUAGAAGAUGCAAGCGUUAUCCGGAAUGAUUUGGCGUAAAGCGUCUAUAGGUGCUUUUUAAGUCCACCUUCAAAUCCUGGGCUCAACCCUAGCUAGGUGGUGGAAACUACCAAAUAGGAGUAUGGUAGGGACAGAGGGAAUUUUUGGUGGAGCGGUGAAAUGCAUAGAGAUAAGAAAGAACACCAAUGGCGAAAUCACUUUAUUGGGCCAACACUAACACUAAGAGACAAAAGCUAGGGAAGCAUAUAGGAUUAGUUACCCCAGUAGUCCUAGUCGUAAAUGAUGGAUACUAGGCACUGUGAGUAUCGACCCUUGCAGUGUUGUAGCUGAUGCGUUAAGUAUCCUGCCUGGGGAGUAUGUUCGCAAGAAUGAAACUCAAAGGAAUUGAGGGAGGCCCACACAAGCGAUGGAGCGUGUGGUUUAGUUCGAUGUAAAGUGAAGAACGUUACUAGGGCUUGACAUGCCGCGAAUCUUCUUGAAAGAAAGGGGUGCCUUCGAGAAUGUGGACACAGGUGGUGCAUGGUUGGUGUCAGCUCGUACCAUAAGGUGUUUGGUUAAGUCCUGCAAUGAGCGCAACCCUCGUGUUUAGUUACCAUUGUUGAGUUUGGAACCCUGAAUAGACUAUCGAUGAUAAGCCGGAGGAAGGUGAGGAUGACGUUAAGUUAUCAUCUCCUUUAUGCUCUGGGCAACACAUGUGCUACAAUGGCCGGUACAAAGGGUCGCGAUCCCACGACGGUGAGCUAACCCCAAAAACCUAUCCUUAAUUUGGAUUGUAGGCUGCAACUUGUCUGCAUGAAGUUGGAAUUGCUAGUAAUUGCUGAUCAGCCAUAUGGCGAUGAAUUCGUUCUCGAGCCUUGUAUACACUGCCUGUCACAUUAUGGGAGCUGGCCAUGCCCAAAUUCGUUACCUUAACUGCAAGGAGGGAGAUGCCAAAGGUAGGGCUAGUAACUGGAGUGAAGUCAUAACAAGGUAGCCAUACUGGAAGGUGCGGUUG